rnacentral:lncRNA from 1 species
GAUGUGACAGACAACAAGGAGGACGAAGCAGUGACCACAGAACCGUCACACGAAGAGACAGAUGUGCAACCAGAAACGGAUCCAUUGAACAUGUCCACAAAAUCUUCCAAAAUUCUCAAAUAUGACGUCACGGAAGAGGAACUCAUGGAAAGCAUUGCCAACGAAUACGAACUAUGAGACACUGAACGCAUGCGCAGACACAGCAGCCAGGCAAAGGCCUGACGUCAUGCGAUGGUUGCAUGAUACAAUAUACCGAUUGGCCAUGAUAAAACUGGUCACAGCUCGUGACUUGACAUGUUGCCAUAGUGAUAGGGGCGGGGCUUGGUUUCUUCGCCACGACACAGCGUACGUGCUAUUGUGCCAUGGUACGGAUUUGUACAUGCCGCAGAACGGUUGUCCAUUUUACAGAUACGGCUUUCCGGGACUUAAUUAUGUGACGUCACAGAAAGAAAAAUAUUCUUUUUUUACACUGAAAAUGCCAUGGAAAAUAAUAAUUCUACCUGGAAGUGCGGUAAACAUCAGACUCAGAGGAUAUGAUUAUGGAAUGAAUAUGCCAUUAUUACACUGGCAAUGGAACUGGAUGGUUAUGAAAGAUGUAUAGUUUUCACGUCGCCAGUCCUUAAGAGGAAUGACAAAGAGUAUUGAGCCGUUACAGAUGAGGGAUUUUUUUCAUAAUAAACAAGAUGAUAAAUGAUGCAGCACCGGGAACAUACAGAAAACACUAUUCAUGCCGAGAGCUUCAUCUGUCUUGUUGUGCAUUACUGUGACAAUGAUACAUUAUAAUUCCCUGUACACGGCUAGUUCAAUCAGUACAAAAAACACUUACAUUAAGUGUCUCCUGGGACUUAAAUCACUUAGGGGCGUUCAGAAUGAGUUAAGUUGCAUCAGCUACUGCGCACAAACUCUACGGGGGCUCUUGCUGAAUGUAAACAGAUUAACAGACUAACACGCCUACUUGUUUCCAACGUAUUAAAUAAUCACCAGCUUUUCUACAUUCUACUUAGCCCUGGGAGGAGGCGUGUUCUCAACGGAGCCAAAAUUAUGUUAUGGACAAUGUCUCAUCUUUACACAAAAAUGUACACAGUGUUUUAUCGUUGCGAAAAGGUGAACUCGCUUUUACUAAUUGCUCAAUGUUUGUUAUAAUAAAUUAUUCGAACAGUUAUUAUGAAAGAUGUGAAUUGUAUUUCUGCGUAGAAGUAUUCCGUUAUGGAUUCUGUAUGGCUAUCUCUGGAAGGCGUUUAUUUAAUAUUUCUAACGAUUAUUCCUGAAAGAAAGGCUUUAGGUUUUUUGCCUUAAAAUAAGAGCCAUUGAAACUACAUCAAAGCAUAACUUCUUUGUUUUAUAAGUUUUGUCAGCUGUUUCCCUUACAUAUUGAUUAAACAAUGGGGAAGCACUAAGGUAAUGAUUUAUGGGUAAAAAGUGUAAUGCGCUAAUUGCUUAACUUAUCUGUGAUAUAGCUUUGAUAAGCACUCCUUUGGUUGCCAUGGUAACAUCCUAUGUUACCAUUAAAUUGAUUUUGUUGUUGAAUAGAGAAAACUUUAGAUCAUUGUCUCCAAAAUACUUUUGGCGUCACUGAUAUUUCUUUAUUAGGAUUACCUUUACAGAAAUAGAUGAUUACAUAGAAUUAUGAUAAAAACCGGAGUAUCAAUAAAGAUAUUUAUAC